AAAAAGGGUCGGUUGGCUAUGUAUGCCACGCACAUCUUUUAAUUGAUGGGCGCUGUAUGGUUAUCAAGACAUAUGGCCGACAUAAUUUAUGGAUCUUAUAGGGUUGGUUUGCUCGGCUAACCCUUGA